rnacentral:rRNA from 1 species
AGAUAGUAAGGUGGCGGACGGGUGAGUAACACGUAAAGACUUGCCCUGCAGUCUGGGACAACUAUUGGAAACGAUAGCUAAUACCGGAUAUUGCUGCAUGGCGAAAGCUGUAUGCGCUGCAGGAGAGCUUUGCGUCCCAUUAGUUAGUUGGUGAGGUAACGGCUCACCAAGACCGCGAUGGGUAGCCGGCCUGAGAGGGUGAACGGCCACAAGGGGACUGAGACACGGCCCUUACUCCUACGGGAGGCAGCAGUGGGGAAUAUUGGACAAUGGACCAAAGUCUGAUCCAGCAAUUCUGUGUGCACGAUGACGGUCUUAGGAUUGUAAAGUGCUUUCAAUCGGGAAAAAGAAAGUGAUGGUACCGAUAGAAGAAGCGACGGCUAAAUACGUGCCGGCAGCCGCGGUAAUACGUAUGUCGCAAGCGUUAUCCGGAUUUAUUGGGCGUAAAGCGCGUCUAGGCGGUCUGGUAAGUCUGAUGUGGAAAUGCGGGGCUCAACUCCGUAUUGCGUUGGAAACUGCCAGACUAGAGUACUGGAGAGGUGGGCGGAACUACAAGUGUAGAGGUGAAAUUCGUAGAUAUUUGUAGGAAUGCCGAUAGAGAAGUCAGCUCACUGGACAGAUACUGACGCUGAAGCGCGAAAGCAUGGGGAGCA